GGGCCAUCUGUCUGGGGCACCUGUCAGCCUCUUGAACUCCAGAUUUGAUGGGGCUAAUCUCUGACUGCUGAGGCUGCUGUCCCGUUUCGCCUUCCUGCUCCCUGUGUGUUCCUGCCAAAGACGUGUCCUCUGAUGAAGAGAAUGACCUUUCCCUGGAGAGGAGGAUGGUUCUUUGGUCAAGGGCAUAGGAGGAAAGGCACAGGGGAAAACUGUUUUAAAUAUUCAUAGGUCUAAAAAUGUCUCCCUUCUUUGAUUAUUUGAAAAAAAAAUCUGAUUAUGCAGAACAUUCUCGUUU
ensembl:misc_RNA 7SK 7SK RNA